rnacentral:rRNA from 1 species
CCUACGGGUGGCAGCAGUGGGGAAUAUUGCACAAUGGGGGAAACCCUGAUGCAGCGACGCCGCGUGAGUGAAGAAGUAAUUCGUUAUGUAAAGCUCUAUCAGCAGGGAAGAAAAUGACGGUACCUGAGUAAGAAGCCCCGGCUAACUACGUGCCAGCAGCCGCGGUAAUACGUAGGGGGCAAGCGUUAUCCGGAGUUACUGGGGGGAAAGGGAGCGUAGACGGCAGUGCAAGUCUGGUGUGAAAGGCGGGGGCUCAACCCCCGGAUUGCUCUGGAAACUGUACGGCUGGAGUGCAGGAGAGGUAAGUGGAAUUCCUAGUGUAGCGGUGAAAUGCGUAGAUAUUAGGAGGAACACCAGUGGCGAAGGCGGCUUACUGGACUGUAACUGACGUUGAGGCUCGAAAGCGUGGGGAGCAAACAGGAUUAGAUACCCCAGUAGUC